UUUUGCUAUGCCUGGCAGGUUUUUCACCAUUGAGAUACUUUCGGAAGAAAGUUUGAAUGCGUUGCCAGGCAUCCAACUGUGCCCUUGACUGAGCCCUUGGCUCACCUCCAGAGAGUAUCGGUCCACUCACUGCCGUAGGAAAGCAGCCAUCGAGAGGCACAGGUCACCGCCUUUGGAGAUCCCAAGAAGCCCAAUAUUUGGACCUUUCACCUAGGAGGAGAGAGAGAGAACAGUGUAGGGUUUAUAAGUGGAAAGCAGGCAAUGAUUUUGUAUUCUCCAAGAACCAUCCUCAAGUAUAACUUCUUUGUCUUCUACAACAAUCUGUAAGUUAAAAAGAAGCCCGUUCGGUCCCCAGCUCUGAAAAAAAGAACCAAAAAAAAAAAAAAAAAAAAAAAAAGAAGCCUGCUCUGCUAAUAAAGACAUUGAUUUCUGA